AUUGAACGCUGGCGGCAGGCCUAACACAUGCAAGUCGAGCGGAGCGGGGACGGGUGAGUAACACGUGGGUAACCUCCCCAUCAAAGGGGAUAACACUUGGAAACAGGUGCUAUCCCGAUACUGCUGGAUGGACCAACGGUGCAUUAGCUAGUUGGUGAGGUAACGGCUCAGCAAGGCCACGAUGCAUAGCCGACCUGAGAGGGUGAUCAGCCACACUGGGACUGAGACACGGCCCAGACUCCUACGGGAGGCAGCAGUGGGGAAUCUUCGACAAGGGACGAAAGUCUGACCCAGCAACGCCGCGUGAGUGAAGAAGGUUUUCGGAUCGUAAAACUCUGUUGUUAGAGAAGCGGUAUCUACCCAGAAAGCCACGGCUAACUACGUGCCAGCAGCCGCGGUAAUAC
rnacentral:rRNA from 1 species